CUCACUACUCGAAGCUUUGUUUAUCUAGUAGUAUCUGUGCUAAUCAGUUUAAUUUCUGAUAUGUUCUCUAUAUGAGGACUAAAUAUUAAACGGAUUUUUAGAGCUGGGAGUCGGAAUAGGGGCUUGCGCCGUCGGCUCCACGUAUUGACCUGGUACUGCGAUACUUCCAGGCUUGGUAGUCUAUAU